rnacentral:tRNA from 1 species
GGAGGGGUGGCUGAGUGGUCGAAGGCACACGCUUGGAAAGCGUGCGUGCGAGCAAUCGCACCAUGGGUUCGAAUCCCAUCCCCUCCGCCA